UACAAGUAUAUAAAAAAUGUUUGAUGUUGCGUGAAAAGACAAGGUAUCUUUACAUAUCUUUUUCUACUAUAUAUAUUCCUUUGAGUAUAUGCAUUAUUUCUUGCAAAACAUAACCAAAAAUCACCAUUCGUAUACUAAUCCAACGUCAAUUACAUCAAAAUCUUUGCAAAAAUGGUAAUCAAGUCCACCAAUUGUCUCCAAAAAAUUGCCACUCUUAUGAUAAUCUGUGUGGUUGUUCUGUCCUCCACAAUACCAUCCGAAGCGCGAAGCUGUAAACCAGCCCAACCUCCCCCUCCUCCUCCUCCUAGGCCUACUAUAUGUCCAGCUUGUGUGUGCUGCACACCGGCACCCGCCGGUGUUUGCUGCGGUUGCUGUGCUUUUCCUGUUGAAGACUCGCCGCCUCCCCCGCCAUUUGUGAUCGCUCCAUGAAAGAAAUAGAUUUUAUAUUAAUUCGUAUACUCUUUAUAAGUUAUUUUGUACUCCGUACGUCUUUAAUUUCGAAUGUGUACAUACUUUUGUACUCCGUACGUCUUUAAUUUCGAAUGUGUACGUGUAUGUACUAUGUAUGUGUGUAUGGCUACUGUAUGCAUAUACGUGUUUAAUGUCGUUGGUAAAAUCUAAAAUGUUCAACCAAAAGUACGUAAGUAAUGACACGUUUUUUGGUUGCAACUUUAAUUGGAUUUUAAUCGCACUUGAUUUUUCAAUGUCAAAAUAAUUUCGCAACAUGCAAUAUUUAAGCCGUGUUACAAUGAUGACAUGACGGACUAUUUAUGUGUCAUGUUACAAAAAAAUGGUAGGAAAAUCUUAAUAUUCUAAUUUACAAAUUGAAUAAUAUAAUUUUUUAUUUCAAAAUAAAUAUUUAUGAUUUGUAUACGAAA